GAUGAACGCUAGCUACAGGCUUAACACAUGCAGGUCGAGGGGAAACGGCAUUGAGUGCUUGCACUCUUUGGACGUCGACCGGCGCACGGGUGAGUAACGCGUAUCCAACCUUCCCAUUACUGUGGGAUAACCUGCCGAAAGGCAGACUAAUACCGCAUAGUCUUCGAUGACGGCAUCAGAUUUGAAGUAAAGAUUUAUCGGUAAUGGAUGGGGAUGCGUCUGAUUAGCUUGUUGGCGGGGUAACGGCCCACCAAGGCUACGAUCAGUAGGGGUUCUGAGAGGAAGGUCCCCCACAUUGGAACUGAGACACGGUCCAAACUCCUACGGGAGGCAGCAGUGAGGAAUAUUGGUCAAUGGACGGAAGUCUGAACCAGCCAAGUAGCGUGCAGGAUGACGGCCCUAUGGGUUGUAAACUGCUUUUGUAUGGGGAUAAAGUUAGGGACGUGUCCCUAUUUGCAGGUACCAUACGAAUAAGGACCGGCUAAUUCCGUG
rnacentral:rRNA from 1 species